rnacentral:siRNA from 1 species
UGAGGGCAUUGCAUUUUGUAUC